UAAGACGAACCGUGCGAACGUUGUUCGGAAUCACUGGGCUUAAAGGGCGCGUAGGCGGCUUGUUGCGUCCGUGGUGAAAGCCCCCGGCUUAACCGGGGAAGUGCCGCGGAUACGGGCAAGCUCGAGUGGGGUAGGGGCAGACGGAACUUCCGGUGGAGCGGUGAAAUGCGUUGAUAUCGGAAGGAACGCCGGUGGCGAAAGCGGUCUGCUGGGCCCCUUCUGACGCUGAGGCGCGAAAGCCAGGGGAGCGAACGGGAUUAGAUACCCCGGUAGUCCUGGCCCUAAACGAUGGGUACUGGGUAGUGGGUCAGGCAUGGACUCACUGCCGGAGCAAAAGUGUUAAGUACCCCGCCUGGGGAGUAUGGUCGCAAGGCUG
rnacentral:rRNA from 1 species